UACGGAGAUGGCCAAGCGUUAUCCGGAUUUAUUGGGUUUAAAGGGUGCGUAGGCGGCUUAUUAAGUCAGGGGUGAAAGACGGUGGCUCAACCAUCGCAGUGCCUUUGAUACUGAUGAGCUUGAAUAUACUAGAGGUAGGCGGAAUGUGACAAGUAGCGGUGAAAUGCAUAGAUAUGUCACAGAACACCGAUUGCGAAGGCAGCUUACUAUGGUAUUAUUGACGCUGAGGCACGAAAGCGUGGGGAUCAAACAGG
rnacentral:rRNA from 1 species